rnacentral:rRNA from 1 species
UACGUAGGGUGCAAGCGUUAAUCGGAAUUACUGGGCGUAAAGCGUGCGCAGGCGGUUCGCUAAGACAGAUGUGAAAUCCCCGGGCUUAACCUGGGAACUGCAUUUGUGACUGGCGGGCUAGAGUAUGGCAGAGGGGGGUAGAAUUCCACGUGUAGCAGUGAAAUGCGUAGAGAUGUGGAGGAAUACCGAUGGCGAAGGCAGCCCCCUGGGCCAACACUGACCGCUCAUGCACGAAAGCGUGGGGAGCAAACAGG